rnacentral:rRNA from 1 species
UACGUAGGGGGCAAGCGUUGUCCGGAUUUAUUGGGCGUAAAGAGCUCGUAGGCGGUUCGACAAGUCGGAUGUGAAAUCUCCACGCUCAACGUGGAGGGGCCAUUCGAAACUGUCGUGACUUGAGUCCGGUAGGGGAGUGUGGAAUUCCCGGUGUGAGCGGUGAAAUGCGCAGAGAUCGGGAAGGAACACCCGUAGCGAAGGCGGCACUCUGGGCCGUGACUGACGCUGAGGAGCGAAAGCGUGGGGAGCAAACAGG